rnacentral:misc_RNA from 1 species
CAGAGUUCGUGCCCUCGCGGGUAGAUCUCCCACCCUGUGUUAUCGUUACCUUCGUUGCUUUGGCGGGCCGCCCUGGCCACCGGCUCACGCUGGUGAGCGCUUGCCAGAGGACCCAAAACUCUGAAUUAAAGUAUUGUCUGAGUACUAUAUAAUAGUUA